UACGCAUACCGAACUAUAGUAGGGAAAUGUGUGAGCCGGCUGCCGAGAAAAGCCGCUAUUGUUUGUACUGUACCCGUACCGUAAACCGACACAGGUGGAUGAGGAGAGAAUCCUAAGGCCGACGGAAGAAGCAUUGCUAAGGAACUCGGCAAAAUGACCCUGUAACUUCGGGAGAAAGGGUGCCUCGAAAGAGGCCGCAGAGAAUAGGCCCAAGCAACUGUUUAGCAAAAACACAGGUCUAUGCAAAACCGCAAGGUGAAGUAUAUGGGCUGACGCCUGCCCGGUGCUGGAAGGUUAAGGGGAGAUGUCAGGAGACGAAGCAUCGAACUUAAGCCCCAGUAAACGGCGGCCGUAACUAUAACGGUCCUAAGGUAGCGAAAUUCCUUGUCGGGUAAGUUCCGACCCGCACGAAAGGCGUAAUGAUUUGGGCGCUGUCUCGGCAAUGCAUCCGGUGAAAUUGAAGUGUCAGUGAAGAUGCUGGCUACCCGCGCCAGGACGGAAAGACCCCAUGGAGCUUUACUCCAGCUUGAUACUGGGAUUCGGUAUUGUAUGUACAGGAUAGGUGGGAGGCUGAGAAAUGGUGACGCCAGUCGCCAUGGAGCCGCUGUUGGGAUACCACCCUUGCAGUACUGGAUUUCUAACCAGCAGCCGUGAUCCGGCUGGGGGACAAUGUCAGGUGGGGAGUUUGACUGGGGCGGUCGCCUCCGAAAGGGAAUCGGAGGCGCUCAAAGGUUCCCUCAGAAUGGUCGGAAACCAUUCGAAGAGUGCAAAGGCAGAAGGGAGCUUGACUGCGACACCGACGGGUGGGGCAGGUACGAAAGUAGGACUUAGUGAUCCGGUGGUAUUAAGUGGGAAUGCCAUCGCUCAACGGAUGAAAGCUACCCUGGGAUAACAGGCUUAUCACUCCCAAGAGUUCACAUCGACGGAGUGGUUUGGCACCUCGAUGUCGGCUCAUCGCAUCCUGGGGCUGUAGUAGGUCCCAAGGGUUGGGCUGUUCGCCCAUUAAAGCGGUACGCGAGCUGGGUUCAGAACGUCGUGAGACAGUUCGGUCCCUAUCCGGCGUGGGCGUAGGAUAUUUGAGAGGAGCUGACCUUAGUACGAGAGGACCGGGUUGGACUGACCUCUGGUGCACCGGUUGUCAUGCCAAUGGCACAGCCGGGUAGCCAAGUCGGGAAGGGAUAAACGCUGAAGGCAUCUAAGCGUGAAGCCCCCCUCAAGAUGAGAUAUCCCCCGCAUAAGCGGUAAGACCCCUUGAAGACGACGAGGUAGAUAGGGCAGAGGUGGAAGUGCAGUAAUGUAUGGAGCUGACUGCUACUAAUAGGUCGAAGGCUUAACU
rnacentral:rRNA from 1 species